ACCAGGAUGGCAGAGUGGUUAAGGCAUUGGACUUAAGAUCUAAUUAUAUAUAUAAUAUAUAUAAUUAUAUAAAUAUAUACACAUGGGUUCAAACCCCACUCCUGGUA
rnacentral:tRNA from 1 species